GAUGAACGCUAGCGACAGGCUUAACACAUGCAAGUCGAGGGGCAGCGGGGUGUAGCAAUACAUCGCCGGCGACCGGCGCACGGGUGAGUAACGCGUAUGCAACUUGCCUAUCAGAGGGGGAGUAACCCGUCCGAAGACGGACUAAUACCGCAUGAACAGGGGUCCGGCAUGGGGAGUAUUUGUUAAAGAUUACAUCGCUGAUAGAUAGGCAUGCGUUCCAUUAGGUAGUUGGUGGGGCGAACGGCCC
rnacentral:rRNA from 1 species